AGUUAUCUAUAAUAAUGAAAUUCUUACGGCGGUGCCGUACACUCCGUACCCACGGGGUGGGGGCCUCCGCUAAAAAAAAAAUGAGAUCAUUUAUGAUUAAAUUAAACCAAAGAAUAAAUUGGUAAAAAAUAAAGUUAUAGGAUAGUGAAAAUAAUGAUAGUAGCUAAAAUCUGAUAGUUACAACUAAAAUAUGUGCCAGCAGUUGCGGUUAGACAUAGGUAGCAAGUAUUAGUCAUAUUGGUUUAAAGGAUCCGUAGAAUUUAUAUAAAAAAGAUAUAUAGAGUUAAUAAAAGUAAUAAAUGAAUUAUAAAAGUAAUGAUGAAAUAUAAUAAUAUUUAUAGGACAGACUAGUUCGAAAGUUUUUAUUAUUUAUUAACUGACAUUGAGGGAUGAAGGCUAAAAUAAUGACAUGGAUUCGAUACCCAAUUAAUUUUAGCAGUAAACUAUGAAUACCAUUUAUUAUUAAAAAAAUAAUAAAUAAGAGAAAUCAAUAGUAUUCCACCAGGAGAGUAUAAUUACUAAAUUAAAACCCAAUACAAUAGACGGUUAUAAUCAAUAGCAGUGGAGUAUGUUAU
rnacentral:rRNA from 1 species